rnacentral:lncRNA from 1 species
CAUUACUCAAAGCGGCUUUGUAAAUCGCGAGCUCCCCUUUGAGCUCCUCCAUUUCUUUCUGCAUGGCUAGCACCAUAUCCUCGAGAGCUUCAUCCCUCUCUGCCAGCUUUACCUCAGUGGACUCGAGUAAUUCCGUUAUCUUUUCCCUAUUUGCACCGAGAGAAUCCAACACAAAAUCUCUGAGUUGCUCCUCCAUUGAGUCAAACCCAUCCGUGCG